ACGUAGGUGGCAAGCGUUGUCCGGAUUUACUGGGUGUAAAGGGCGUGUAGCCGGGAAGGCAAGUCAGAUGUGAAAUCCACGGGCUCAACUCGUGAACUGCAUUUGAAACUGUUUUUCUUGAGUAUCGGAGAGGCAAUCGGAAUUCCUAGUGUAGCGGUGAAAUGCGUAGAUAUUAGGAGGAACACCAGUGGCGAAGGCGGAUUGCUGGACGACAACUGACGGUGAGGCGCGAAAGCGUGGGGAGCAAACAG
rnacentral:rRNA from 1 species